rnacentral:rRNA from 1 species
ACGGGUGAGUAACACGUGGGCAACCUGCCCUUGAGACUGGGAUAACUUCGGGAAACCGGAGCUAAUACCGGAUAAUAUAAGGAACCUCCUGGUUCCUUAUUGAAAGAUGGUUUCGGCUAUCACUUAAGGAUGGGCCCGCGGCGCAUUAGCUAGUUGGUGAGGUAACGGCUCACCAAGGCGACGAUGCGUAGCCGACCUGAGAGGGUGAUCGGCCACACUGGGACUGAGACACGGCCCAGACUCCUACGGGAGGCAGCAGUAGGGAAUCUUCCACAAUGGACGAAAGUCUGAUGGAGCAACGCCGCGUGAGUGAUGAAGGCCUUCGGGUCGUAAAGCUCUGUUGUUAGGGAAGAACAAGUGCGAGAGUAACUGCUCGCACCUUGACGGUACCUAACCAGAAAGCCACGGCUAACUACGUGCCAGCAGCCGCGGUAAUACGUAGGUGGCAAGCGUUAUCCGGAAUUAUUGGGCGUAAAGCGCGCGCAGGUGGUUUCUUAAGUCUGAUGUGAAAGCCCACGGCUCAACCGUGGAGGGUCAUUGGAAACUGGGGAACUUGAGUGCAGAAGAGGAAAGUGGAAUUC